rnacentral:rRNA from 1 species
UACGUAGGCAGCGAGCGUUGUUCGGAGUUACUGGGCGUAAAGGGUGUGUAGGCGGUUUUCUAAGUUUGGUGUGAAAUCUCCCGGCUCAACCGGGAGGGUGCGCCGAAAACUGGGAGACUAGAGUGCGGGAUGGGAGAGUAGAAUUCCUGGUGUAGCGGUGAAAUGCGUAGAUAUCAGGAGGAAUACCGGUGGCGAAGGCGGCUCUCUGGAACGCAACUGACGCUGAGACGCGAAAGCGUGGGGAGCAAACAGG